rnacentral:rRNA from 1 species
UACGGGGGGAGCAAGCGUUGUUCGGAUUUACUGGGCGUAAAGGGCGCGAUAGGCGGUCAGCACAAGUCAGUUGUGAAAUCUCCGGGCUUAACUCGGAAAGGUCAACUGAUACUGUGCGACUAGAGUGCGGAAGGGGCAACUGGAAUUCUCGGUGUAGCGGUGAAAUGCGUAGAUAUCGAGAGGAACACCAGAGGUGAAGACGGGUUGCUGGGCCGACACUGCGCUGACAGCGCGAAAGCCAGGGGAGCAAAACGGG